UAAAAGUGCCACUGUAUCGCCAGUCUUCACUUCAAAUGCAAAUAUGAUGUUUCAGUAUAAGUACCUGCUCUUAACUUUGAUAUUGAGCGCCUGGUUUAUCUUCUCCAACGGUCAAUACCCGUAUGAGAUUAUAAGUUGUAGGGACAACACAGGAUUUUGUAAGGAGAAAUGUCCAAAGAAAAUGAAGUUUAUACGAAACAGAGGGGAGUGCACGGACAAAUCCACUGGGAAGAUACUCUUGUGUUGUGUCAAACAUUUUUGACCUACUGUUUUUUUUUAGCCACAACUACAAAUGUAUAAAACGAUUACACAUAUUUUUGUAAUUCAUUCGAUUUCUGGU